rnacentral:tRNA from 1 species
GGUAUUUUAGCUCAGUUGGUUAGAACAUGGUGCUAAUAACACCAAGUUCACAGGUUCAAUCCCUGCUUACUG